UUGCUUUUAUAAUAUCCAAAGUACACAUUCAUUCGCUCACCUUGCAUGGGAGUCCACUGAACCCUCAUUUUUUCAACAGUUCAACUGACACCCCUUUUAUUUGUACACAGUGGUGAGGAUGGGAGGGAGGGAGCGAGAGUUGCCUCAGAGAGAAUGUUAAGACAACGACCCCUCCAGCUUUGAGGAGGAGGGUAACUAACAGAACCACUACAGUGCGAAACGAGACAUGUCAAGGACAUCCGACCCGUGGGACCUCCCUGGCUGUCUCACUUCAGCCAGUGCCCACCAUGUAUCAAGUGUCACCUGACAACACUCACCCACUGGCGAGCCUCGAGGAGUGUGGUUACCAGGAAAGGUGGAAAAAGUCAGGAUUAGUGAGCAUUCUUGUUGGAAAACGGAAAAUAUCUUACCUAUAGUGAUGCUGCGUCACCUAGCGGGGAGUACCGAGCAGGCGACUACUGCAGAGUUGCCAGCUUUUCCCGCCCAAUUGGGCUGCUUUCCAACCAAGUGGGCGGGAUAUUUUGGUUCCGCGGGUUGGUGGGCUAUUUUGGCUGUAUUGGGCUGUGUUUUGGUUUUGUUAUAUCAUAAAGAACUAUUUUUUUUAUUGGUUUCUAGAGGGUAUAGAUUGUCUAGUUUUGGACGAGUUUAAUGGGAGUGGGCGGGAGCCCCGCCUACUAUCUGGCAACCCUGGUUGCAAGUGUCAACUUGACACUCGCUGCACGACUUCAACCACAGCGCCGCUGCCUCCCACACGUCCAGGCUCCCGCCUCCACACCCCCUAGGCUAAAGUCUCCUCCAGGAAGAGUGUGAGAGGAGUGGAAAAUGAUAGCUAUGGUGGGAGAGUGGGAAGUUUUUUAAGUAGGAGGAGGAAGGAAAGUGGUCAGACAUGUACUAAAUAUCUAGCUUAUAUAGGUUGUAAAUGAUACUGCUUGAAUAUAU